GACGGGGGAUGCAAGUGUUAUCCGGAAUCACUGGGCGUAAAGCGUCUGUAGGUGGUUUAAUAAGUCAACUGUUAAAUCUUGAGGCUCAACCUCAAAAUCGCAGUCGAAACUAUUAGGCUAGAGUAUAGUGGGUAAGGGAAGUUACUCAGUGGAGCGGUGAAAUGCGUAGAGAUUGGAAAGAACACCGAUGGCGAAGGCACUUUACUGGGCUAUUACUAACACUCAGAGACGAAAGCUAGGGUAGCAAAUGG
rnacentral:rRNA from 1 species